UACGGGGGGGGCAAGCGUUGUUCGGAAUUACUGGGCGUAAAGGGCUCGUAGGUGGCCAACUAAGUCGGACGUGAAAUCCCUCAGCUUAACUGGGGAACUGCGUCCGAUACUGGAUGGCUCGAGUUUGGGAGAGGGAUGCGGAAUUCCAGGUGUAGCGGUGAAAUGCGUAGAUAUCUGGAGGAACACCGGUGGCGAAGGCGGCAUCCUGGACCAACACUGACACUGAAGAGCGAAAGCCAGGGGAGCAAACGGG
rnacentral:rRNA from 1 species